CACUACAGCCAUACCACCUUGGGCCUGUGCUCUUGUCAGAUCGCAUAAACUAAAUGGGGUCAAGCCUGGUUAGUACUUGGAUGGGAAACCUCCAUAGAAAUAAGGGUGUUGAAGGAG
ensembl:rRNA 5S_rRNA 5S ribosomal RNA